CUCGCUAUUGAUGAUUUUUUACCACUGUUCCCGCGAUCUUCAUGAGCGAACUGAACAACAUGCACUACCAUCUGAAGCGUC
rnacentral:snoRNA from 1 species